AAUGCCCCUUGAGGCGUUGCAGCGCAGCCUUCCGUGCUGUAGUUGUGUCAAAAGGCGGCAAAGAGCAAAGGCGGUCGUCUGCACUGAGUCUACGCCUCAGUGAUGACUCGGCGUUUUAUUGACCGCCAACAUG